CCUACGGGUGGCUGCAGUGGGGAAUAUUGGACAAUGGGGGGAACCCUGAUCCAGCCAUGCCGCGUGUGUGAAGAAGGCCCUCGGGUUGUAAAGCACUUUCAGUGAGGAAGAACGCCUGGUGGUUAAUACCCAUCAGGAAAGACAUCACUCACAGAAGAAGCACCGGCUAACUCCGUGCCAGCAGCCGCGGUAAUACGGAGGGUGCGAGCGUUAAUCGGAAUUACUGGGCGUAAAGCGCGCGUAGGUGGCUUGAUAAGCCGGUUGUGAAAGCCCCGGGCUCAACCUGGGAACGGCAUCCGGAACUGUCAAGCUAGAGUGCAGGAGAGGAAGGUAGAAUUCCCGGUGUAGCGGUGAAAUGCGUAGAGAUCGGGAGGAAUACCAGUGGCGAAGGCGGCCUUCUGGACUGACACUGACACUGAGGUGCGAAAGCGUGGGUAGCAAACAGGAUUAGAUACCCGUGUAGUU
rnacentral:rRNA from 1 species